UGGGGAAUAUUGCACAAUGGGCGCAAGCCUGAUGCAGCCAUGCCGCGUGUGUGAAGAAGGCCUUCGGGUUGUAAAGCACUUUCAGCGGGGAGGAAGGCGAUAAGGUUAAUAACCUCAUCGAUUGACGUUACCCGCAGAAGAAGCACCGGCUAACUCCGUGCCAGCAGCCGCGGUAAUACGGAGGGUGCAAGCGUUAAUCGGAAUUACUGGGCGUAAAGCGCACGCAGGCGGUCUGUCAAGUCGGAUGUGAAAUCCCCGGGCUCAACCUGGGAACUGCAUUCGAAACUGGCAGGCUAGAGUCUUGUAGAGGGGGGUAGAAUUCCAGGUGUAGCGGUGAAAUGCGUAGAGAUCUGGAGGAAUACCGGUGGCGAAGGCGGCCCCUUGGACAAAGACUGACGCUCAGGUGCGAAAGCGUGGGGAGCAAACAGG
rnacentral:rRNA from 1 species